rnacentral:rRNA from 1 species
UACGUAGGGGGCAAGCGUUGUCCGGAUUUAUUGGGCGUAAAGCGCACGCAGGCGGUCUUGUGAGUUUCGAGUGACAGGUGGUGGCUUAACUACCACAGGCCUUGGAAAACGGCAAGACUUGAGGACUUGAGAGGGAUGCGGAAUUCCCGGUGUAGCGGUGAAAUGCGCAGAUAUCAGGAGGAACACCGGUGGCGAAGGCGGUUCUCUGGGCCUUACCUGACGCUGAGGAGCGAAAGCGUGGGGAGCAAACAGG